rnacentral:rRNA from 1 species
UACAGAGGUCCCGAGCGUUGUUCGGAUUCAUUGGGCGUAAAGGGUGCGUAGGCGGCGGGGCAAGUCUGAUGUGAAAUCCCGGGGCUCAACCCCGGAACUGCAUUGGAUACUGCCUUGCUUGAGUACUGGAGAGGGAACUGGAAUUUACGGUGUAGCGGUGAAAUGCGUAGAGAUCGGAAGGAACGCCAGUGGUGAAGACGACUACCUGGACCAAUACUGACACUGAGGCACGAAAGCGUGGGGAUCAAACAGG